UACGUAGGGUGCGAGCGUUAAUCGGAAUUACUGGGCGUAAAGCGUGCGUAGGCGGUUUCAUAAGCUUGAUGUGAAAGCCCCGGGCUUAACCUGGGAAUGGCAUUGAGGACUGUGAGGCUUGAGUGCGGCAGAGGGAGGUGGAAUUCCACGUGUAGCAGUGAAAUGCGUAGAGAUGUGGAGGAACACCGAUGGCGAAGGCAGCCUCCUGGGCCGACACUGACGCUGAUGCACGAAAGCGUGGGGAGCAAACAGG
rnacentral:rRNA from 1 species